UCAGUAUAAAACCCACCACCUUUUGUAGUUGAGCAUCAUUCUCAACUCGUCGCUUAUAAUACCUGCACGAGGUCUGAAGUCUAGGCUACCACGCUAAAAAUCACAAUGCGAUUCAUUUUUUCAAAAAUUGGGCUAUUUUUCUUUGUCAGUUUCGCGUUUUCAAAUUCGCUUUCAGUCGCCGACGGCUUGGAAAAUGUUGAGUUCAAGGAGAAACAUUUAAGAGAAAGUGAUUCCGAUGAUGAAAAUGAUCACAUAGUUGGUGGAACAGCAGCUGCCCCUGGAGAAUUUCCAUUUCAAGCAGCCUUGAACCUCAAUGGUGGUUUGUGCGGAGGAACUUUGAUUUCAGAAUCCAUUAUUUUGACAGCAGCGCAUUGCUUGAGCGGUAAAACAGCUGCCUCUACCACCAAAUUCAGUGUGACCGCCAACACAACAUCGUUGAGAGGCGGAGCCAAUGCCGUCACUCGAAGAGUGAGAAAAUUCGUCGUUCACGGCUCUUACAAUUCCAAAACGAACGAUAACGAUAUUGCCCUGCUGGCUUUAAGUUCACCGAUAAAGAACGUCGCGUUCGUUAAGCUUCCGCCAGCCUCGGCCGGUACUUACGCAGGCAAUUCGGCGGUUAUUGCCGGAUGGGGUACAACAUCUUCCGGAGGGCGCAUCUCGCAAACUCUGCUCAAAGCUACGGUCACGGUUUUGGAGAAUGCAGCUUGCAACAAAAAAUACGGCGGGAAAAUUACCAGUAACAUGAUUUGUGCCGCCGCUCCGGGUAAAGACACCUGUCAGGGUGACAGUGGUGGUCCCUUGCUAGUUGGAGGAGUUCAAGGGGGCAUCACCAGCUUCGGAUAUGGCUGCGCUGAUUCUAAAUUUCCCGGCGUGUACACUCGAGUUUCAAAUUACGUCGAUUGGAUCAAGAGAACCUCGGCUAACAUUUAAAUGGCACGAUAAGGCAGAGGAAAAAAUCGGAGCGCACCCUUGCCAGCCCCUUGCCGGCAAUCAAUUUUGUUAUUGGUAUUCGGGUCUGUUUGGAGAAGCUUUGGAAAUUAUUUGGCAUGUGUUAUGGUCUACAUGAGAAUAGGGUACUUGUAGAAAUUGCAUAAAAAUACUGUUUAGUUUUCCUUCAGAAUUAUCAAAAGAAGUCGAAUAUAUCCUUACCCAACG
rnacentral:misc_RNA from 1 species